CUGCAUGGCUGUCGUCAGCUCGUGUCGUGAGAUGUUGGGUUAAGUCCGCAACGAGCGCAACCCUUAUCUUCAGUUACCAUCAUUCAGUUGGGGACUCUGGAGAUACUGCCCCGGUUAACGGGGAGGAAGGUGGGGAGUGACGUCAAGUCCUCAUGGCCUUUAUAUCCAGGGCUACACACGUGCUACAAUGGGCGAUACAGAGUGACGCGAAGCCGCGAGGUGGAGCAAAUCGCAAGAAAAUCGCUCUCAGUUCGGAUUGGAGUCUGAAACCCGACUCCAUGAAGGUGGAAUCGCUAGUAAUCGCGCAUCAGCAUGGCGCGGUGAAUACGUUCCCGGGCCUU
rnacentral:rRNA from 1 species